GCCUUUUUCCAGAUUUUUGUUGGAAUUGUUGUCCCUUUUCCUUCGAAUCAUUAUUGAAAGGCAGAUUAAAUGAUGAGCAUAUACCAACCAAGCUACGCUAUAGAUGUGUAGAUUGGGUGAUGCUUCAGAAACACCU
ensembl:snoRNA snoRNA:Psi28S-1175a snoRNA:Psi28S-1175a